rnacentral:rRNA from 1 species
UGGGGAAUUUUGGACAAUGGGCGAAAGCCUGAUCCAGCAAUGCCGCGUGUGUGAAGAAGGCCUUCGGGUUGUAAAGCACUUUUGUCCGGAAAGAAAUCCUUGGCUCUAAUACAGUCGGGGGAUGACGGUACCGGAAGAAUAAGCACCGGCUAACUACGUGCCAGCAGCCGCGGUAAUACGUAGGGUGCAAGCGUUAAUCGGAAUUACUGGGCGUAAAGCGUGCGCAGGCGGUUUGCUAAGACCGAUGUGAAAUCCCCGGGCUCAACCUGGGAACUGCAUUGGUGACUGGCAGGCUAGAGUAUGGCAGAGGGGGGUAGAAUUCCACGUGUAGCAGUGAAAUGCGUAGAGAUGUGGAGGAAUACCGAUGGCGAAGGCAGUCCCCUGGGCCAAUACUGACGCUCAUGCACGAAAGCGUGGGGAGCAAACAGGAUUAGAUACCCUGGUAGUCCACGCCCUAAACGAUGUCAACUAGUUGUUGGGGAUUCAUUUCCUUAGUAACGUAGCUAACGCGUGAAGUUGACCGCCUGGGGAGUACGGUCGCAAGAUUAAAACUUAAAUGAAUUGACGGGGUCAUAGCUGUUUCCU